UACGUAGGGGGCAAGCGUUAUCCGGAUUUACUGGGUGUAAAGGGGGCGCAGACGGCGAUGCAAGCCAGGAGUGAAAGCCCGGGGCCCAACCCCGGGACUGCCCUUGGAACUGCAUGGCUGGAGUGCGGGAGGGGCAGGCGGAAUUCCUGGUGUAGCGGUGAAAUGCGUAGAUAUCAGGAGGAACACCGGCGGCGAAGGCGGCCUGCUGGACCGCGACUGACGUUGAGGCUCGAAAGCGUGGGGAGCGAACAGG
rnacentral:rRNA from 1 species